CGGCCUGAGAGGGUGGUCGGCCACACUGGGACUGAGAUACGGCCCAGACUCCUACGGGAGGCAGCAGUAAGGAAUAUUGCGCAAUGGUCGCAAGACUGACGCAGCAACGCCGCGUGGAUGAUGAAGCUCUAUGGAGUGUAAAGUCCUGUUAGAAGGGAAGAACAGUACGGAGUCAAAGCUUCGUGCAUGACGGUACCUUCAGAGAAAGCCCCGGCUAACUCCGUGCCAGCAGCCGCGGUAAUACGGGGGGGGCAAGCGUUGUCCGGAAUUACUGGGCGUAAAGGGCGCGUAGGUGGAAUUGUAAGUUAGAGGUGAAAGCCAGCAGCUUAACUGCUGGUCUGCCUUUAAUUCUACAUCGCGUAAAUGCGAAAGAGGGAAGCGGAAUUCUUGGUGUAGCGGUGAAAUGCGUAGAUAUCAAGAAGAACACCGGUAGCGUAGGCGGCUUCCUGGUUCGUAACUGACACUGAGGCGCGAAAGUGUGGGGAGCAAACAGGAUUAGAUACCCUGGUAGUCCACACCGUAAACGAUGGAUACUAGGUGUUGGGUUUCACGACUCAGUGCCGAAGUUAACGCAUUAAGUAUCCCGCCUGGGGAGUACGAUCGCAAGGUUGAAACUCAAAGGAAUUGACGGGGGCCCGCACAAGCGGUGGAGCAUGUGGUUUAAUUCGAUGCAACGCGAAGAACCUUACCGGGGUUUGAAAUGCAGUUGCUCUCCGUUGAAAGACGGAUUUCCUUCGGGACAACUGUACAGGUGCUGCAUGGCUGUCGUCAGCUCGUGCCGUGAGGUGUUGGGUUAAGUCCCGCAGCGAGCGCAACCCUUGUCCUUAGUUGCUAUCAGGUCAAGCUGAGAACUCUAAGGAGACUGCCUCGGAUAACGAGGAGGAAGGUGGGGAUGACGUCAAGUCCUCAUGGCCCUUACAUCCCGGGCUACACACGUGCUACAAUGGCCAGUACAACGGGAAGCGAUACCGUGAGGUGGAGCAAAUCCCUUAAAACUGGUCUCAGUUCGGAUUGUAGUCUGCAACUCGACUACAUGAAGUUGGAAUCGCUAGUAAUCGCGGAUCAGCAUGCCGCGGUGAUACGUUCCCGGGCCUUGUACACACCGCCCGUCACGCCAUGGGAGUUGAUAGCACCCGAAGUCGCCGGGCUA
rnacentral:rRNA from 1 species